GAAAAAGAGCCCCCUUCCCGGCAUCUGUCCCCUCCUUUGCAUCAGGGACCCACCCUUCAGUUGGGGGGCUGUCUCUACCCCCUCAAGAUGUAAGCCUGGCUGGUUUGAAACCCUAUCAGUGCUGCGACCUGUGGAUGAUUCCCCAGAUUUCUGCAUAUUCUGGGAUCCAUUUCCUCCAGCCUGUCCUCACGCAAAGCUGACACCUGCAGGGCUGCAUUUAUUUCUGGAACAACAGCCAAGUGGUUCCUUCCCAUUCUACCCGGCAGCUUGGCCUGGGGUUGGAACUGUCCUGCUGAUCCCAUGAGGGGUUAUCGGCACCCCGACUGGCCGCCUUAUCUCUCCCCACCAGCUGUGGUUCCCUUUGCCCUCUUCUUCCUUGCCUUUCAGAACUACCUGGUCCUUGGUCUUCCUUGAGCUCCUGGCCCUGGUCCCAGCACUAAAGGGUUCUCCCUGGAAGUCCUGGGUGGCAGCCUUCUCCAUGUGGGCAGUGUGGGGUCAGCACCUCUGCCCACCACCCCACCGGACUCAGCUCCACCUUCCACAACAGCUUCCCUCGUGGCCCCUUCCCAUUGGCAAGACUGGGUCCUCCACCAUGCCAACUGGCAGCCUGCAGAUGUGUCUGGUCUGUCCUGUUUCAAAAGGGAGGAGGCUGCCGUACCCCCGGAGGCCUCUCCACCUUCCUCCGCCACCCUCUUCCCAGACUCUGACUUCUGCAAAGAGAAAUCUUCACUCGAUGUCUCCACUUCACCCACCCUCCCUCCCAACCCCUUGCCUUUGCCAAGGUCACCUGGGACUUGCCGUUUCUCUAAGCUGAGAGGCGUUUGUCAGGCUGUAUGGGGGGGCCUCUUUGCUGCAUGGCCCGCUGCCCACUCCACCACACCCCUCCUCUCUCUCCAGCUCACCUCCUACAGCCCGACGCCCUCAUUCCUUCUUCCUGGGGUCACAAGGAGGACCGAGGACAGGCCCAGGCCCCGCAGCAGCCUGGCGUCCCUGCAGGUGUCUGGAAGCAAUUUCAACAAAGAAAGAAGUGAGUCUGGAGACGGUGGCAGCAGCCUUAUCGAGAACGUGAGGAAACUGCAGACAACGAAGCCUGUCACACAGCGUGCCUUCUCCCUGGGGACAGUGCCAUUCUUCUGAGUCACAGUGACCACAUGGCAAAGGCACAGCGCUAAGAGAUGUGGCACCCUCCUCUCUUGGCUCGGCUGGACAAGAGCUCCAUGUGGCCCAGGCGAGACAGGGGUGAGGUGAAAUGGGACCGCAGUAGUUCCACGGGAGGGGAAUGAGCAAAGGCCAUUUUUCUUCUAUGACUGAAAAAAAUUAGGGCUUCUAUUUGGGGCAGUGGGGCACACAACUCUUGAUCUCUGCAUCAUGAGUUCGAGCCCCACGCUGGGUGUAGAGCUUACUUUUAAAAAAAUAGGGCUUAUAAAAUGACAAGAUUUUUUUUUUUAAUAAAAAGUGUCCAGAAAAUAAAUUUCA
rnacentral:lncRNA from 1 species